GGGUGAGGGCGAGCCCGCAGUGGAACCAGACCCUGUUCCUCAUCACGUACGACGAGCAUGGUGGGUUCUUCGAUCACGUGCCCACGCCCGUGCGUGGGGUGCCCAGCCCUGAUGGGAUUGUGGGCCCCGAGCCUUUUAACUUCACCUUUGAUAGGUUGGGAGUCAGGGUUCCCACUAUUGCUAUCUCACCUUGGAUCGAAAAGGGCACAGUUGUGCAUGGGCCAAAUGGGUCACCGUCUCCUACAUCGGAAUAUGAACACUCAUCUAUUCCAGCAACAGUAAAAAAACUCUUUAACUUGCCUUCAUUCCUGACCAAGAGAGAUGCUUGGGCUGGAACCUUUGAGGGCAUUGUUCAGACCAGGAAAGAACCAAGGACUGAUUGCCCAGAGACACUUCCAGACCCUGUAAAGAUCAGGAAGACAGGGCCUAAUGAAGAUGCCAACCUCAGUGAAUUUCAGCUAUC